UACGGAGGGUGCGAGCGUUAAUCGGAAUUACUGGGCGUAAAGAGUGCGUAGGUGGUUGAUUAAGUUAUCUGUGAAAUUCCUGGGCUCAACCUGGGACGGUCAGAUAAUACUGGUUGACUCGAGUAUAGGAGAGGGUAGUGGAAUUUCCGGUGUAGCGGUGAAAUGCGUAGAGAUCGGAAGGAACACCAGUGGCGAAGGCGGCUACCUGGCCAAAUACUGACACUGAGGCACGAAAGCGUGGGGAGCAAACAGG
rnacentral:rRNA from 1 species